UCUGAAUCUUAGAGGGAUCGAGAAAUCCGCCCCAUAGUUACUCUUGACUUUGCAUGGGGGAAGAUCCAAGAAUGGGGCAGGGGAGAGGAGAGAAAUAAGCUUAAAGGAACCACCUGCUCACAUCUCUUUCAGAUUCCGGUUCCGGGACUGCAAGGAUAUUUGGAGAGGCAGCAGAGCCAUCGCGGAGGCCAGUGGCUGGAAGAUCCCUUCUGAGCCUGGCAGGAGAGAAGAAGCAGGAAGGGCCCCAGGUUCUGAGGUCCUUCCAUGGAUGGGGAGUAAUUAGGUGGAUCGCACAAAUCUUUCUCCUGAUCUGUCUUUCAGAGGGAUCCCCAAGGAUAGAAGUCAAGUUCAGGAUACUUCACUAGGAAGAAAUUCUUAAUUUGUUCCUUCAAGCUAGAAUAUAUGAAGU